AAGUUGCAAAGCACUUUGAAGAGAGAGUUAAAGAGGACGUGAAACUGGCACGAUGGAAACGGAUAGAGCUAGCGAACUCGUUCGUAUUCAGCCAACGGUUCUGGGUUCGGUUUUGUUGUGUUUCAGUUUUGUGCACGCAGGAUCGAGCGCCUGGGUUCCAAGGUGCAUUUGCGGACGAUUGCGCCGAGACUUGUGGGGCAGCGGUAGGACCCGGUUCAUGAGGCCUCCUUUUGGUUGUACCCUGAACUGGUAUACGACUGUUUGCUCUGCUCGUAAUGUUGGUUCGGCCUCGGGUGAAACUGCCGUUGGCGUUCUCUUGUGGUGGCAACAGCACGCUUUGCCUAACUUGGGGAUUCCGGCUGCGGUGUAGCUCUCGAACUGUCUCUCGGUGUAAAAUCUGGUCAUCUAUCCGACCCGUCUUGAAACACGGACCAAGGAGUUUAGCGUAUGUGCGAGCCACUGGGUAUUGCAAAACCUAUGGGCACAAUGAAAGUGAAGGCUCGGUCGCCGAGCUUACAUGCGACUGUGCUAGCUUCGGCUGGUGCGGGCAGCAUGGUCCCGUUUCAGUCGCUUGCGACGGAGCGGAGACAGAGUGCAUGCGCUGAGACCCGAAAGAUGGUGAACUAUUCCUGAGCAGGACGAAGCCAGAGGAAACUCUGGUGGAAGUCCGAAGCGAUUCUGACGUGCAAAUCGAUCGUCUGACUUGGGUAUAGGGGCGAAAGACUAAUCGAACCAUCUA
rnacentral:rRNA from 1 species